AGCAGUUUGACAUACGGGGAACUGUUGAUGAGUUCCGGCAAGAGAUUAACAUGUAUGCCUUUUGGAAGCCAGGGAUGGAUAUCUAUGUUUCUCAUGUACGGAGGAAGCAACUGCCCACCUUUGUUUUUCCUGAUGGACACAAGCGGGCCAAGCCAUCCAGGCAUGAAGGACAGCAAGCUGAUGUAGUUUGUGCUGAUAUGCCACAAGAUCAAUCUGGGAUCACUGAGAAGGGGAAAAAAAGGAAAAGUGAUCAUGAAGAAGAAGAGACGGAAAAGAAACAAGCCUUUAUCAG
rnacentral:misc_RNA from 1 species